AUUGAACGCUGGCGGCAUGCUUUACACAUGCAAGUCGAACGGUAACAGGGUGCUUGCACCGCUGACGAGUGGCGAACGGGUGAGUAAUGCGUCGGAACGUGCCGAGUAGUGGGGGAUAACGCAGCGAAAGUUGUGCUAAUACCGCAUACGUACUGAGGUAGAAAGUGGGGGACCUUCGGGCCUCACGCUAUUCGAGCGGCCGACGUCUGAUUAGCUAGUAGGUGAGGUAAAGGCUCACCUAGGCGACGAUCAGUAGCGGGUCUGAGAGGAUGAUCCGCCACACUGGGACUGAGACACGGCCCAGACUCCUACGGGAGGCAGCAGUGGGGAGUUUUGGACAAUGGGCGAAAGCCUGAUCCAGCCAUGCCGCGUGUCUGAAGAAGGCCUUCGGGUUGUAAAGGACUUUUGUCAGGGAGGAAAUCCCUAGCGUUAAUACCGCUGGGGGAUGACAGUACCUGAAGAAUAAGCACCGGCUAACUACGUGCCAGCAGCCGCCGUAAAAC
rnacentral:rRNA from 1 species